rnacentral:rRNA from 1 species
GAUGAACGCUGGCGGCGUGCCUAACACAUGCAAGUCGAGCGAUCUUCUUCGGAAGAGAGCGGCGGACGGGUGAGUAACGCGUGGGUAACCUGCCCUGUACACACGGAUAACAUACCGAAAGGUAUGCUAAUACGGGAUGACAUAUAAAAGUCGCAUGGCUUUUAUAUCAAAGCUCCGGCGGUACAGGAUGGACCCGCGUCUGAUUAGCUAGUUGGUAAGGUAACGGCUUACCAAGGCGACGAUCAGUAGCCGACCUGAGAGGGUGAUCGGCCACACUGGAACUGAGACACGGUCCAGACUCCUACGGGAGGCAGCAGUGGGGAAUAUUGCACAAUGGGCGAAAGCCUGAUGCAGCAACGCCGCGUGAGCGAUGAAGGCCUUCGGGUCGUAAAGCUCUGUCCUCAAGGAAGAUAAUGACGGUACUUGAGGAGGAAGCCCCGGCUAACUACGUGCCAGCAGCCGCGGUAAUACGUAGGGGGCUAGCGUUAUCCGGAAUUACUGGGCGUAAAGGGUGCGUAGGCGGUCUUUCAAGCCAGAAGUGAAAGGCUACGGCUCAACCGUAGUAAGCUUUUGGAACUGUAGGACUUGAGUGCAGGAGAGGAGAGUAGAAUUCCUAGUGUAGCGGUGAAAUGCGUAGAUAUUAGGAGGAAUACCAGUAGCGAAGGCGGCUCUCUGGACUGUAACUGACGCUGAGGCACGAAAGCGUGGGGAGCAAACAGG